UACAUUAAAUCACGUGUGAUGAAUGUG
rnacentral:sRNA from 1 species